rnacentral:rRNA from 1 species
GGGUUCUACCGUUGGUCGGGCUAUAGUCUGUACUGGCGUGUGGAAUUUCUACCUUCUGGGGAACUAUCAUGUUAUUAAUUUAGCGUGGUAGGAAACCAGAACCUUUACCUUGAAAAAAUUAGAGUGUUCAAAGCAGGCUUACGUCUGAAUACAUUAGCAUGGGAUAAUAGAAUAUGACUU